CCAGCAGCCGCGGUAAUACGUAGGUGGCAAGCGUUAUCCGGAAUUAUUGGGCGUAAAGCGCGCGUAGGCGGUUUUUUAAGUCUGAUGUGAAAGCCCACGGCCCUAUUAUGGAGGGUCAUUGGAAACUGGAAAACUUGAGUGCAGCAUAGGAAAGUGGAAUUCCAUGUGUAGCGGUGAAAUGCGCAGAGAUAUGGAGGAACACCAGUGGCGAAGGCGACUUUCUGGUCUGUAACUGACGCUGAUGUGCGAAAGCGUGGGGAUCAAACAGGAUUAGAUACCCUGGUAAACUCG
rnacentral:rRNA from 1 species